AUGGGAAACGAAUUCGAUCCGAGCAGUUUGACAAGGACCACUGACUACACUGAUGUGUACAGUAACAAUCCUGGCCAAUCAGCCACACUUGCUGCCGCACUAAAUGGAGAUCUAUCAAGCAACGUCGUUACACUGUCGCACAGUGAAGUGCAGAUUUAUUUUCAUCUCAAUGGGUACUCCCCCGACUGAUAUCGGUUUUUCGGGAUCCUUUGAAAGUGUUUGUAGUUUGCGGCGGAGGAGGAAGCGAGCAGCCGGCCAGAAGAAGCGUGCCAUGCGCCGCCACAAGCUCCGCAAAGUAUACCAGCACAGUGGAAGACUGUCAAAGAAUGAAACACACAUCGAUCGAAGCAAGUACGAGCACAUCAUGAAGUUCAAAAUCGCAAUGCUGCUGGGGAAAGUGUCCAUGGCCGAGGCGUGUGACAGCAACUGCACCACUCGACAGCUCAUGAGCAUGCACAAGUGCUGCGAGCACUGGCAAAAUAAUGGUAUAACCCCGAACGCAUGCCCAGGCCGCAGGCCAUCAGCAGCUAGCGACCUGGAACUCUGCUCUCCGCACUACCCUCUUCAACAAAAGAGCCGCCUGCAUAGACACGAUAACAGCCAGAAGCAUCGCAAUCGACUCAGAAAGAGGCAGCAGAAGCAAGCAAUGGUGAUCGAAGCUAAGCCACAGAAAUGAGCCAAGAGACUUCGCUUGCAGCGAGAGCGGGCAUCACGGCGGAGGCCACCCCAUACGACACAACUCACCUCUCCAAUCUAGAUGCUCCAGUCAUGUCGAACCAUGCGCUGGCGGCUUUCCAGCAGCCAGUGCCUUCGGAUAUGGCGUGCAAUUGACCUGCAGAUUCACUAGCCGCUGACGGGCAGUCAUCUGUAUGCACCCUGACUUCUAUUUAAGCACAC